rnacentral:rRNA from 1 species
GACGAACGCUGGCGGCGUGCCUAAUACAUGCAAGUAGAACGCUGAAGGAGGAGCUUGCUUCUCUGGAUGAGUUGCGAACGGGUGAGUAACGCGUAGGUAACCUGCCUGGUAGCGGGGGAUAACUAUUGGAAACGAUAGCUAAUACCGCAUAAGAGUAGAUGUUGCAUGACAUUUGCUUAAAAGGUGCAAUUGCAUCCCUACCAGAUGGACCUGCGUUGUAUUAGCUAGUUGGUGGGGUAACGGCUCACCAAGGCGACGAUACAUAGCCGACCUGAGAGGGGGAUCGGCCACACUGGGACUGAGACACGGCCCAGACUCCUACGGGAGGCAGCAGUAGGGAAUCUUCGGCAAUGGACGGAAGUCUGACCGAGCAACGCCGCGUGAGUGAAGAAGGUUUUCGGAUCGUAAAGCUCUGUUGUAAGAGAAGAACGAGUGUGAGAGUGGAAAGUUCACACUGUGACGGUAUCUUACCAGAAAGGGACGGCUAACUACGUG